CCUACGGGAGGCAGCAGUCGAGAAUCAUUCACAAUGGGGGCAACUCUGAUGGUGCGACGCCGCGUGGAGGAAUGAAGGUCUUUGGAUUGUAAACCCCUGUCAUGUGGGGGCAAAUUAAAAAGAUAGUACCACAAGAGGAAGAGAUGGCUAACUCGGUGCCAGCAGCCGCGGUAAUACAGAGGUUUCAAGCGUUGUUCGGAAUCACUGGGCGUAAAGCGUGCGUAGGCUGUUUCGUAAGUCGUAGGUGAAAAGAGCGGGCUCAACCCGCGGACGGCACAUGAUACUGCGAGACUAGAGUAAUGGUGGGGGAACCGGAAUGCACGGUGUAGCGGUGAAAUGCGUAGAGAUCG
rnacentral:rRNA from 1 species